rnacentral:lncRNA from 1 species
AGAGGAGGAGAGAGAUUGAAAUGGAACUGUCACAAUCCCGCCAUUCGAUGUUUUAUUCAUUUUACGUCUGCCUGCCGUCUCUUCCUCAAUACUAUUGAAUUGGCAAAUAGAUCAUUAUUGGACAAUUGGAAAACCUGCCACUUUGUGAUAUGACACAUUAUAUGAAAAUCACAGUCAUACAUUCUUAAUGCAGUGUCAGAUAAAAGAGAUUUUUGGGUGCAGGCGCACAGCUUUGUGCCUUUUGUGUACAUACAGUCAUGAAAAUCAGCUCUUUUUUUGUCUGCUUUUGCUGUUUGGGUGUUGUCUCUUCUUCUGAGCUCUAUUUGUGUGCACACGCUGAACAAUAUUCUCCUUUAUACUUUCGUAUUUAAGGCAUUUUCUCCCUGACAUCUUCAAAUAUGUCGGCAGUUAUUGUCCGUAGUAAAUACUGAAAGAAGACAGUAUCAAUUUGACACUCCUGUCAGCACCCUUAAUCCCAUCCUUCGUCUCAAAGUCAAAGUCAUGAGGCCAACAGAGAAUGAAAAGCUGCAAUUUAUGGUGGAGGGGGCCAUCGAGGAGGAGAGGUGAGCGCGGCGCUGCUGUUGGUUUCCAUAGAUUUGAAAAGAGCACCGCAGCAACAAAAUGGAUGACAUGAGGAACAGCAGGCUGGUUGACAAAGACGAGGUCAGUGAGGGAUCCAUCCAGAAAAAAUGGGAGAUUAGAGUCAUGCAGCAGCACUAAAAACUAAAUGAAUCAAAGUGAAACGCUUCAUCCGAGGGAAUACCGCACAAGAUCUGGAUGUUUUUCACCUUUUUUUAGCCACUGAAUUCAUUUUCCAAACUUAAAAAACACAAAAAGAGGAUAAAAGUGCAAUUUAAAACAUUCAUAGCAGUAUUAUUUCGUAUUUCUGUCUGAAAUUAAUCCUGAUACAUUCAUAUUUAUGCCUGUAAGUGAAACAGCACACUGCACAAACAGCCUUCUUUCAUGACAAUAAUUCACUGUAACUCAACAUGUGUGACAGUUAAAAGCAGCAGGAAGGAGCUCACUGAUAAACAAACAAAAUUACAGUUUAAUUAUGAAUAUAAAGAAUAUGAUAAACAAAUACGGCUUUUUCAACUAAAUCAAACCUCCUGACAGCAGAGUGGAAAACCUGUAGAGUAUCUGCACAAAGGAUUACGAUCAAACGCUUUUAAUUAUGUAGAGUUAAGUUUAUAGUUAGUUAGUUAGUUAGUUAACUUAUUUAUCUGACCCACAUGGGUGUAUAAAAUACUAAAUAAUAUCAAAAAACAGCGUUGCAGAGGAGAGUAAAAAAAGAGGAAAAGAUAAAACAUACAAGUAUAUAUAGAAUUAAAUCUACACCAAUAAACUCCAUAAACUUAAAUCAAAUGUACAACGUAUUUUUUUUCCUUUCCCGGGCCUUAUAGCUCACCUUUUUCUCUUUGGAUGUUUAGUAUAUUUAGUCUGUAUUUAUUGUAUAUAUUUAGUAUUUUUAGUCUGUAUUGUUCAUACUUCUUCCUAUAUUUAAUAAAAUUUCCUAGUUUGGGAUCAAUAAAGUCUAUCUAUCUAUCUAUCUAUCUAUCUAUCUAUCUAUCUAUCUAUCUAUCUAUCUAUCUAUCUAUCUAUCUAUCUAUCUAUCUCAAAUUCAUAACUCAAUUCAACUUUCUCAUAAUCAUCUAAAUAAAAUAAAUCAUUAAAAUGAAGCAAAUGUCCAGUGUCCUAAAAUUAAAAUUAAAUUUUUUAGCAAAAUUCAAUUCAACAGGUAAAAGGAAGCAAAACAAAUCCUCUAGAGUCAGUGUUUUCUUGUUUGUUUGUUUUUUUCCAUGCGUUCUGCUAAUUGUCAAAAGUACUGCCUUGCAGGUUUAACGGUCGGUGCAUGCUGGUUGAUGACGUAUAUGAGGUGAACCUCACUGUAUACCAGUGUUAGUUUGAGGACACCAGCAGUUGCAAAUGUGAAAAAUUCCCAUCACCAACGAGCUCAAAAGAUCCACCCUGUCAGACACGUUUGUUUCCUCUGCUCUUAAACAGCUCUCAUUAUAAUGCACAAAAUACUGGUUUUCAAAUAAGCUCACGCUGGUCUGUUAGCGUGGGAUUGUCGGCGCGCUUCAGGUGCCUCUGCGACCUUACAUUUAUAAGCUAAGGCAGGUGAAAAGGUCGCCGCUUCUACAGGUAAACUAAGAGUCUGAAAACCUAAUUUUUGCAGACCAGCACAUGUAGCGAAGAGGCAAAAAUGUUUCACUUGCAACUUUGGUGCUGCGGUGUAGCAACAGGCAUCAGGAAAUGUGGGUGGUUUUAACAAGAAACAGGUUUCACUUUGUGUUCAGUAUCAGUUAAGGUUUCUGUUUUUCAUGCUUGAUGUGCAAAACAAACAAGAAGGAGAAAAAAAGAACGAGGACAAUAAAGUUUGCAGAUUUUAACAACAAUUAGUAAAAGAAAUCAAACUGGGAACAUGUUCUUACUUAACUUAGAUGUUUUUUCUCUCACUGUGAUCAUUAGGAAUGGCAGUAACUGCACAGAAACACCUCUACUGUGAACAGAGGAUGACAAAUGAUAACACCUUGGACUUGACAUAUGAGGUACAAAGCACACUUGUGGUUUCACACCUAUAGAAACGUACAUAAUCCAGCAUAUAUGUUCUGUCAGCUUAAAUAACAAGGUACAACAUGUGAUUAAUGAAGUGACGAUGGUUUUUUAGUGUUUUUGUCGCAGAUAUUCGGUGUUUGGUGUCGCUGCGUUUUCUCAAAAAGCUGGGGCUUCAAUUUUUUCACACGUGAAGUUCCCCUUCAGACUCAUCAUGAAACAUCAGGCGAUGAGCUCUCUCUCUCUCUGACUCAAUUAAACCCAAUGUGAUGGUCUCAGUAUCAAUUUGGCUGCUUUGCCUCACACACCGGAGUAUCAUUUAUAAACUUACACACCUACUGUAUACCCAAAAUAGCACAUAUCGACUCAGGGGCACGACAGGGGAUUUUGAACACGGUGAAAACAGAUGAAAUUGGGCGCCACCACUUCCGCAUUGUCGUUCCAGUCACAGAGACAAGAAUCUUUAGAACUUUUCCCCUCUUUUGCAGAAUCUAACAGUUCUGUUUUAGUCAACAGAUUACUGUUUUAAAUGCAAUUUGGCAGAUUGAGCUGCUCUGAUUUGAUACUUGACAUGCGCCCAACACAACAUCCUGGUUUUCCACUCCAUCCAAGCUGAAAGAUUCUUAGUCUUCCUGCUCUCCACCUGCAGGCUUUAAGGACGGGUUUAUAACACUACACCAUCACUCCUUACAUUAAUGAAGUUAAUGUAUUAUCUAAGGUUCAGGAGCACCUGACUAGCCUACAUAUACACAUCCAUCCCACUACACCUCUCUCUGAUCUCAAUCCAUUUUCAGGUACAGUCUGGGUUGGACUCGGGCAGAACAAUGCCUGAUACAGAACCCCUAUCCUGAGUCUCUCCCUGCCGGGCCUCUACAGAGCCUCCCAGACCAACCAGACAUUCAACACUCCUCAUUAGCCUCAUCAUCCAUCACAACAUACACACAACAGACAAGACAUACACAUUCCCAAAUUCAUAUUAAAUAUUCAAACGUACAUCACUAUGGCGUGGUCAUUAAUAGUAAAAUGCAUGUUAAAGAAAUCUGUAAACCUCUGAGACCGAGUACAAACAACGCUCUGAAUCUGUAGUGAACAUGUGAUACAUCAGAAAUCACAGCUUUAUAUGAUGCUAAUGUUGCAUCAAGCUCACUUAUGUUUGCAUUUUAAUCACUGUUGAUUACAACCAUAGACUGUAUAUAGAAUGGACGCCGUCUGCCUCCCCGAGAACAGCACCCUCUGGUGACGAGCUGCAGUAUAGGUCAUAAACCCCGCCUCCUCCAGCAAUCCCUAUGGAGCUGUGGACAAACUUUAGAAAUUAAUCACACAGAAUAUACAUUUUUCUCCCCCCUGGUUGUGAUGUUGACAUGUAGUUACUGUAAGACUGGUUUGUGUUCAAGUCCUCUUUUUUCUGUCCAGCUCUGUUUUUUAAAGUUAUUAGGGGUUUGUGAUUGUGUAACACACCCGUGGGAUUCGUUGUUUGAGCCGAGCGUCAUCACAGCGACUCUCCCGCUGAAUGCGUACAAUGCUACUGCCACGGGAAGUGGAGAAAAUCCCGGAAAUACCAAGAGCAAUUUGGCUUCAAAUUCGUAUAAUUAAUACAGUCUAUGAUUAUAACUGAAUAUAUAAAACAGACAUAAUCCUGAAGUUCGAUGAUGUGACUUUGUAGAGAGUCACUGUGAUUGGCUGAUUAUGUACAUUCCAACCCUGAUUGGUUGUUUGUAAUUGGAGGGGGAGGGAGCUCACAAACACAGAUCAGACUCAUGUUUACUCCAAGGAACAUUUAAACUUUUAUUAUAUUGUUAGUGACGCACAUAGAUCACAUCAGUUAUUUUUAACCAAAACUGCAUGUUUGAAUAAAUAAAACAUAGAAAUGAGGAAAUAAGUGUUCUCUUUAAAGAAAGUUGAAAGCUAGGUUAAGUAUGACAUACAGUUGAGUGAUACACAUAAGUGACUACCUCUGAUAUUAUAAGAGUUUCGUAUCUACAGCUGGUUCUUCUUCAGCCACAGGAAGGAGAAGAGGCUGAGAAAAGUGGCUGAUAAUGCACUUUUGAUCUUUACAGACACGUAAAAGACGAGGUUUAGAGAGAGAGAGCAUUAAGCAAAUGGUGGCCGGAAGAGAGACCGGUUUGAUGAGAAAUAAAGUAAAGUAAACCCCUUCUCUCUCUCCCCCCUUCUCUCUCUUUCUCUCUCUUUCUCAUUUAUCUGUGGGCAGUACGGGGCAGCAGCCCACAUCCCUGAAGAGAAACCACAGCGCUCACUGACUAAGAGGUAAAAUAAUGGCCUCACUACGUUUCUCCAUCUCAGCACUUCUUAAGCUCUGACUUGAAGUGGAGAUGAGUCAGAUUGAGAACCACACACACACAUACCUAAUUUUCUCAUCACCCCUCCAGUCUUCUGAGAAAGUCAGGUUCCCUUUAUGCCCUCGAUCACCUCCAACUGGAGUCGCAAAAAUGGGACCAGUUGUACACACAGUCAUUUCAGAUGUUUGUUAAACAGCCCAGCUGCUCGAUUUGAGCAAUACCGCCCACACACACACACACACACACACACACAGACACACACACAAACGCAGCACCUUAGAUCCUCUGAUAAUUGCAUGUUAGAGAGAGUGUUGGAGAGAAACGGUUGUGUUAGUGUAACAAGGUUCUGGUCCAGAUGUUCAGGAUUAAAGUCUUGUUAUGAAAAUAGAAUUGAGUUCUCCAGGAAGUGAAGUAUUCAGCUCUGUCAUGCACAUGGCAUGUAACCGCGUUUAAAGAGGCCUGAAGAUGAUGAUUGGGAAGAGAUUCAGUGGAAUAUAGAGCAACAUGUUGGCAUGUUGUGUAAUCGACAGUCCGGGCAUUUGGUUGGUAAAAAAAAAAAACAUGUUCUUAAAAUCAGCGCCAUAGCAACCAAGCUGUGAACACGGUUUGCCAAUGUACAGUAAAUGUAGCUUCACGAUACAUUUUUACUGACUUAUUCUUCACUUUUUGUUGCUAUGAGACAAUUUGAAAUAAUUUUACCUCUCAGUGACCGAACACAGAUUUAGGGAGCAGCUAUGAUGACACUUACAGCACAUUUAUUAAUUAAUCUGAGGUUUGGGUUAUUGAGGAGAGAAACUACUGAGCAAAUCCUCUGAAGUGAAGAAAGAAAUAAACUUUUGAGCAUAACUUUGAACUGAACAGCAGUAUUGUGGUCGUGGUGUUUACUUUGGCUACCAGACUAAUAAAAACAACCUAAAGUUUACUAGUUAUUCAGCAAUAUACCAGUACGUAGCCUCUACUGCCGUCUCUAAAGUUCAAGAUGACAGCUCUUCAAACGGGUUUACCUUGUUUCCAGUAUCCUUGGUAAGAUUUCCUUUUUAGGCUGACAGCUGUAUCAUGAUCCUGCUGUACUGAGAUAACUAUUAUCUGGAGUAAAGAAUCAUACCUUUACCUGGUUCCGUCCAGAACUUUGUACUUUUCCGCCUCUUUGAUAUCAAUGAACUCCACGUUUCUCCAUUUUUCAUCCUCCUGGCGCUGUAGUUGUGAGCGAUGGUUUUCCUCAGUCGUGAGCAGUGAUUCCAGUCAUGCGCUACUCUAAUAAAUCCACUUUUUUUAAAUUAUCGAGUAAUCUAACGUGUUGCUGUUUCCUUUAAUCUGACUGAUGUAUUGUGUUAUUGUCAUGUUUUCUAUAAAUAUGGCAGUAUUUUACGGCCACGAUAAUCUUGAGGUAAAAUCUGAUAAAUAUGAGAUUAUUUUUCUCUCUCUGAUAAGUUUGUAACGUGGCUAGUAUGAUAAAUUUUGUUUCAUAAUGUUUUCACACCUUUUACUAUUUGGUGAAUGAUGGUGGAGGACUUUGACGUCUUCGACAAAUCGUCACUUACUCCUCGGUAAACAAUUCUGUCCAUAAUUUAAAUAGAACUCUAAGUCAGGGAGAGGACAAUACACUCUUUAAGAGCUCAUGCCAUGCUCCACUAUCAUUCUUUUACAGUGUUUUUAUACCUGCAGAAUCUAAAAUACGAUGUGAUUGUUUGUAAUUUUCAUAUUUCAUAUCCAAUAUAUCGUUCCAUCUUAAAGCCCUAUCACUUUCUAUUUAUGUCUGCGGGAAAAAAACCUUUCUGUCUCCCCGAGGGACACUUAUUUUUGUCAGGUGCAUCUGCAUUCAUUAGAAUCAAAACAGAAGAAUCUUUUCAAUCGUUUUCUUGCUUUUCCUGCCUUUCUGUCUCUCCUCUCUGUAAUGAUACUUUCUGUCACUCCAAAGCGUUUUCAAUCAGCCUGCCUGGUUUUAAAGAAAUUGACUUAAAAGGUUUGGAGCAGGUGAGAAAUAGUAUGGAUUGAAUUCUAACUCCAAUUCAGAGGAUCAUCCUUGGCUAAAUCGUUCACAGCUGCUGCCACACAAACCCUGAUGAAGGCCACGCGGUGUCAUCGUGUGGUUUACUGGUAAAUAUUUGUUCUCUGUUCAAAGCACUUUACUAAACCUUACUCCUCCUUUCUUUGACUCAGGUUGCUGCAGUGGGUGAAGUUGUACCAGAAUAACUCUUUCAGCGAUGAGCUGACUUGCCAUGAAGUUGAAGCUGCAGCUCCACCUGAGUGUCAGACAGGUCAGGAGUUCAUGUUCAGUGUGGCUCAGAGAAGUUUUCACAGACUCCAGACUCUUUUGAAGAAUGCAAGAGACACUGAAACUAAAAUCCCUCUGAAAUGCAACAGGAAUUGGAUCAUUUCUGUGAGAAAGUUGAAUGCACUGGAGAUGCUGACCCUGCUUCUUUUUAUAAUCUCAUUUGCAACGGUAAAUGCAGAGAGAGAGAGAGCGUUAUCGCGAUAAUGAAAAAGCUUCUCGAGUAAAAAUAUCGGCUUACUUUUGAAAAGUAAGAAAGUGAAUGUUAAACAGUCAAGAGCUGCGUUUACAUGGGCACAAAUAAUCAGAAUAAAAGCCCUUUAAAAACGCAUCAUAUAAACAUGUAGAUCAGAAAAUUCAAUUCCAAUUUGACUCAAUCAGAAAGUAAUUGUAUUCCGAUCGAGUGGGGUGGUUUAUACCGGUCGGUAUUCCGAAACGCGUCCAUGUAAACACUUAUUCCGAUCUCAACUCUCUAACCUGACUCAGCCUUCACUCUUUAGCCUUUGGCUUAUUUAUUGAGGCCAGUAAAGGACAUUAACACUCUGGCAUAAAACACAACCACAGGUACUUUACCAGCUCCUCCGAUAACAUAACAAGGGGUACAUACUGCGUAAUGAUGUCACAUUUGUUCGCACAGUUCAACCUUUGACAGAACAGUGACCCCC